ACCACUCUGACAAUUUUGCUGGGGAGAAAAGUUUUCUUUACGGGAGAAGUACUGCCAAUCAGCGCAUUGAAGGGUGGUGGUCCAUCCUUCGCAAACAGAGCGCACAGUUCUGGAUUAAUUUAUUUCAAACUCUUCAGGAGGAUGGUCACUACACAGGAGAUUUUCUGGAUAAAAGUCUUAUCCAGUUCUGCUUUCUUAAUCUUGUGCAGGAUGAGCUGGAUGAAGUUGUGAACACAUAGAACUCACACAAAAUAAGACCAAGGUCGAACGGUGAUACAGCUUCAGGCCGGCCAGUCGUCAUGUAUUCAUUCCCUGCCAUGCACAGUGCCGAGGAUCGACUGAAACCCACUGGAAUGCAAGAUAUCACUGCGUGUAUGGAAGAGUGCACUCCAAAAUGCCAGUUUCCUUGCGAUGAAACUGUAUUUGAACUGUGUUGUCUGCUAAUGGAGGAAAAUGAAUGGCAUGCUCCAUCAGAUCCAUUGCAUGCAAGUGACUUGUAUCUUAUGUUGAGAGAGGAAUUACUGAAGAUUGUUUGACAAGCGUAUUGAUGUAAUACAUAUAAACUCAGAAAAUAAUUUUUCAGAUUUUUUUUAAUCAGUAGUCUGUAUACUCAGUUACUAUGUUUUUUUCGUCCUACAAUGCCUUCUUGACCUUUAAAUAUUCCUUAAUGACCCAAAUUAAACAGAAUAAUUCAUUGCAAAAUUGCAUUUUUUUAACUAUGCUUACCUGAUCUAUGGUUAUUCUUUUCCAUUUGUGACUAACAAGAUGUUACAUUUUGCUUGAAAUGUCCUGAACUUGACUGCUUAAAUAUGUAUUAAGUAUUAAUGUAUUACUUGUAUAUUAAAAAUUGUGUCUUUUCAUAGAAGGCAUCUGUACAACAUAAUACUUUAUUUUUAUAUACCAACAUUCAGGUGCAGUCAAGAAAUACAUAGUGGAUGAAGAGUGAGUUUAUUGAAUGCAAUAAAAUAUUACCACUCUUCAUUACAGAAGCAUUCACUUAAUACUAUGUAGCUGCUGAAAACAACCAUCCAAUGGUUAUGCAUAACAUCUUGGGUCAUUUUAAUAAAGCCCUAGAACUUUUAUAUAACUGGAACACAAUGCCAAAUGCAAGCUGUUUCUAUAAAAUUCUAAAAACUGUGAAGGAACGAAUACAAAGUUUGUUUCUAUUUGACCAAUACGAACAGUGAACAAAAUAUGUUGUGUUGAUGCAACUUACAACGGAUAAUUAACGGAGUUAUGGUUAUUGACAGAAUUAAACAAUAUCCAUGACCCAGAUAUUGCUUUCGAGAACGGCAUUGAAUUCUGAUCGGAAGUCUGGGAAAUUUUCAUAGCUGUCAGCAAUGUACAAAACCUUUCCACACGUGUCCCCCACUGGUCUUCUACUAAACUCUGUCAUUUGUUGAAACUGUUCCUCUCUGGUCAAAACCACACCACACUGACUUUCCCUCCGCCACCCCACGCCAUAAAGUCAGAA